UAUGGAGGGUGCGAGCGGUAAUCGGAAUUACUGGGCGUAAAGGGCGCGUAGGCGGUGGGUUACGUCUGCCGUGAAAUCCCCGGGCUCAACCUGGGAAUGGCGGUGGAAACGGGCUGACUGGAGUAUGGGAGAGGGUGAUGGAAUUCCAGGUGUAGCGGUGAAAUGCGUAGAGAUCUGGAGGAACACCAGUGGCGAAGGUGGUCACCUGGCCCAAUACUGACGCUGAGGCGCGAAAGCGUGGGGAGCAAACAGG
rnacentral:rRNA from 1 species